rnacentral:rRNA from 1 species
UACGAAGGGGGCUAGCGUUGCUCGGAAUCACUGGGCGUAAAGCGCACGUAGGCGGAUCGCUAAGUCAGGGGUGAAAUCCUGGAGCUCAACUCCAGAACUGCCUUUGAUACUGGCAAUCUCGAGUCCGGGAGAGGUGAGUGGAACUGCGAGUGUAGAGGUGAAAUUCGUAGAUAUUCGCAAGAACACCAGUGGCGAAGGCGGCUGACUGGUCCGGUUCUGACGCUGAGGCGCGAAAGCGUGGGGAGCAAACAGG